GCAUUGGGUUGCUAGUCCCGAUGCUUUCUGGGAAAUCCUGGUGUCUCUUCACUGUGCUCUCCAAGCUUGGGAGGCCCAGUGCCUGGUGUGUCUAGCUUGUAUGAUGUUUCUGCCUGGUUUUGGUGUCUAUCUCUCGGAGGCUGCUCGUGAUUCCUGACAUCUGCACACCCCUGCAGUCCAUCUGACUGAAACUCAGAAGAACUCAGUGAGGAAGCAUCUUAUACUGGCCAUUGUGGUGUGUGGAGCCUUUUUUGUGUUUUAAACCAAUGGAUAAAUAAAAUAAAAAAGAAGAAAAAGAAGAAAGAGAAAAGAAAAAAAAAUGUGUGGAUUUUUUGCACAAACAUCAGAGGAAAUUUCUCAGAGAAUUCCAGAUGAAUAGAAAAGAAAUUUAACUUUCUGGCUAAUUCAGAGAGAGAGGAAAAAAAACAAAACAAAACAAAAAUCAGAAAUCCUUGAAUUUUUGAGGAAGCACAAGAAACCCAGAUUUUUCAGGAAUGUGGGCAUCAAGGCUAAUUAAAGAAUUUAGAUACCACCAAUGCUAUUUCCACAUAGAUUCUGUCUCAGCUAAAGUUAUUAUUUCUCUGAUGAAACAUCAUGAGCCAAACAACUUCGGAAGAGACUUGGAAUUUUUUUCAUACAAGUUUUUGGCUCUAAGAGCAACAAUCAAUAAAUGGGACCUCAUGAAACUGAAAAGCUCCUGUAAAGCAAAGGACACUGUUAUCAAAACAAAAUGAAUGCCUACAGAUUGGGAAAUCUUCACCAACCCUUUAUCUGACAGAGGGCUAAAAUCCAGUAUAUAUAACUAACUAAAGAAGCUGAAAAGCAGCAAAACAAGUUAUCCAAUUAAAAAAAAAAUGGAACUCUCUGUCACGAACAACUCCACAUUUGGCUAAGGCUGAGGAUCUGGCUUGCUUCCAUGUAUGUGGACCUAUCUGCAUUGCCCACGUGGCAUGCUGGGGCUGGCUACCCAGAGGCUAUUUAAGCUGUGGGCUGGCUUUCCCCAGGGUCAGAUGAUUGUUCAAGGUUCCUGAUUAAACUGCAUUGAAAAAAAAAACAAAAGAACUGAGUAGAGAAAAGAAAAAAAAAAAAAAAGGAAACAGAGCUAAACAGAAUUCUCUGGAGAGGAAUAUAGAAUGGCAGAGAAUCACUUAAAGAAAUGCUCAACAUCAUUAGCCAUUACGGAAAUGCAAAUCAAAAUGACCCUGAGAUUUCACCUUACACCCAUGAGAAUGGCCAAGAUGAAAAACUCAAGUGACAACACAUGCUGGAGAGGCUGUGGAGAAAAAGGAACCCUCCUCCACUGCUGGUGGGAAUGUAAACUUGUACAACCACUCUGGAAAUCAAUCCGGUGCUUUCUCAGACAACUAGGAAUAGUGCUUCCUCAAGAUCCAGCCAUACCAUUCCUAGGCAUAUAUGCAAAAGAUUCUCAAGUACACAAUAAGGACAUUUUCUUAACCAUAUUUGUAGCAGCUUUAUUUGUAAUAACCAGAAGUUGGAAACAGCCCAGAUGCCCCUCAGUGGAGUAAUAGAUGCACAAAUUGUGGUAUAUCUACACAAUGGAAUAUUAUUCAGCAAUAAAAAAUAAGGAAAUCUUGAAAUUUGCAGGUAAAUGGUCGGAUCUGGAAAAGAUCAUCCUGAGUGAUCUAUCCCAGAAGCAGAAAGAUGCACACAGUAUAUACUCAUUCAUAUAGACAUAUCAUAUAGGAUAAACCUACUAAAAUCUGUACACCUAAAGAAACUAAUCAGGAGGGAGGACUCUGACUAAAAUGCUCAAUUCCUAUCCAGAAAGGCAAAGAGGCUGGACAUCAGAAGAAGGAGAAAAGAGGGAACAAGUCAGGAGCCUGACACAGAGGACCUCUGAAAAUCUCUGUCCUGCAGACUAUCAAUGUAGAUACUGAAACUUAUGGGCAACCUUUGGGCAGAGUGAAGGGAAUCUUAGGAAAGAAGCGGGAAACAGUAAGAUCUGGAGAGGACAGGAACUCCAUAAGGAGAGCAACAGAACCAAAAAUAUCUGAGCACAGGGGUCUUUCCUGAGACUGCUGUUCCAACCAUGGACUAUGGAAGGAGAUAACCUAAGACCCCUGUACAGAUGUAGCUCAUGGCAGUUCAGUAUCCAUGUGUGUUCCAUUGUAAUAGGAACAGGGACUGUCUCUGACAUGAACUGAUUGGCCUGCUCUUUAAUUACCUCCCCCUGAGGGGAAAGCAGCAUUACCAGGCCACAGAAGAAGACACUGCAGCCACUCCUGAUGAGACCUAAUAGACUAGGAUCAGAAGGAAGGAAAACAAGUCCUCCCCUAUCAGUGGACUUGGGGAGGGGCAUGCAUGCAGAGGGUGGAGGAAGGGAGGGAUUGGGAUGGGAGGAGGGAGGGAACCACAGGGGUGAUACAAAGUGAGUAAAGUGUAAU